rnacentral:rRNA from 1 species
CCUACGGGUGGCAGCAGUCGAGAAUCAUUCACAAUGGGGGAAACCCUGAUGGUGCGACGCCGCGUGGGGGAAUGAAGGUCUUCGGAUUGUAAACCCCUGUUAUGUGGGAGCAAAUUAAAAAGAUAGUACCACAAGAGGAAGAGACGGCCAACUCGGUGCCAGCAGCUGCGGUAAUACAGAGGUCUCAAGCGUUUUUCGGAAUCACUUGGCGUAAAGCGUUGGUUGGCUGUUUCGUAAGUCGUGUGUGAAAGGCGCGGGCUCAACCCGCGGACGGCACAUGAUACUGCGGGACUAGAGUAGUGGAGGGGGAACCGGAAUGCUCGGUGUAGCAGUGAAAUGCGUAGAUAUCGAGAGGAACACUCGUGGCGAAGGCGGGUUCCGGGACAUUAACUGACGCUGAGGCACGAAGGCCAGGGGAGCGAAAGGGAUUAGAUACCCCAGUAGUC